rnacentral:rRNA from 1 species
CCUACGGGUGGCAGCAGUGGGGAAUUUUGGACAAUGGGCGAAAGCCUGAUCCAGCGACGCCGCGUGGAGGACGAAGGUCUUCGGAUUGUAAACUCCUUUUGCAGGGGACGAAAAAAAUGACGGUACUCUGCGAAUAAGCCACGGCUAACUACGUGCCAGCAGCCGCGGUAAUACGUAGGUGGCGAGCGUUACUCGGAAUCACUAGGCGUAAAGCGCGUGUAGGCGGUAUUUUAAGUCUGUUGUGAAAUUUUAUGGCAAAACCAUAAAAUGUCGACAGAUACUGAAGUACUAGAGUGAAGAAGGGGAAACUGGAAUUCCAGGUGUAGCGGUGAAAUGCGUAGAUAUCUGGAAGAACGCCAAAGGCGAAGGCAGGUUCCGGGGCCUUUACUGACGCUGAGACGCGAAAGCUAGGGGAGCAAACAGGAUUAGAUCCCCUGGUAGU